rnacentral:lncRNA from 1 species
CUGCGGUUCAGCAGUAGUGGAAACAAGAGCAUCCCCGGACACAGCGAGAAGUGGAUUUCUAUCCGAUUAGUCGAGGAAGCCGUUGCCUUUUGUUUAGACUCUUUCCCUCCUGCCUGAAAGUAAGGAAUCUCGCUUCGCACCUUUAGUGGUUGAGCUGACCAAGCAAGUCAUUUGUUUUGAUUUCUAAGUAAUAGCACCUAGGGUAACCCGAC